rnacentral:rRNA from 1 species
UACAGAGGUCCCGAGCGUUGUUCGGAUUCACUGGGCGUAAAGGGCUCGUAGGCGGCCAACUAAGUCGGACGUGAAAUCCCCAGGCUCAACCUGGGAACUGCGUCCGAUACUGGAUGGCUUGAAUCCGGGAGAGGGAUGCAGAAUUCCAGGUGUAGCGGUGAAAUGCGUAGAUAUCUGGAGGAAUACCGGUGGCGAAGGCGGCAUCCUGGACCGGCAUUGACGCUGAGGAGCGAAAGCCAGGGGAGCAAACGGG